AUUGAACGCUGGCGGCAGGCCUAACACAUGCAAGUCGAGCGAGCGGCGGUCGGGUGAUUAAUGUAUGGGGCCUGCCCGAUAGAGGGGGCUACCUACUGGACACGCUAGCUAAUCCCGCAUACUAUCGGAUAACCCAUAUUGGUUUCGCUAGUAGGUGGGGUAAUGGCUCACCUAGGCGACGAUCCCUAGCUGGUCUGAGAGGAUGAUCAGCCACAGUGGGAAUGAGACACGGCCCAGACGCCUACGGAGGCAGCAGUGGGGAAUAUUGCACAAUGGGCGCAAGCCUGAUGCAGCCAUGCCGCGUGUAUGAAGAAGGCCCUAGGGUUGUAAAGUACGUUCAGGAGGGAGGCGUUACAGACAGAAGAAGCACCGGCUAACUCCGUGCCAGCAGCCGCGGUAAUAC
rnacentral:rRNA from 1 species